UUCGGAUUCUCAGCGUCUGGUUUGAUAAUGAGUGAAACUCUGAGUUUUGUGCUUUGUCGAUUAUUCUCUUCCAGAUCUCGACCUCGCCGUUUCCGUUUUUUUUCCUCUUCUCUUCUCUUUAACUCCCCUGUCGUUCAAUGUAUCUCUUUGAACAAUAUCGACCUCUCCAUUUCCUUCAUAUCAAAAUAUAUAAAUAGGAGAAGAUGGGAUAUAGAAGCAUCGUCUCUUCUGGACAGAGAUCAUUGAAGCCUUGAAAACCAGCUCGAUUCGUCUUCCAAUUAUCGGAAAGUUGUGGUUGGUGGUGGAAGUGUUGCAGGCACAUCUAGAAGCUCGAGCAUAUCGAGUCAAAACUAUUCCAAUUUACCCAAAUCUUUGCUUCAUUUUUGGUAAGGAAGUGUCUGAUGAGAGAUACACACGCUUGGCUCAAGCUUUUGAUCCCACUCCUGCAGAAACUCUGCGCAUAAACGAGAGUGAAGCGAAGAUGGAUUCAAGGAUACUUUCCAGAUGGUGCAAGCCGGCGAAGAGAAAGAUGAUUACCUCUGUAGCAGUAGUAGUCCUCCUUGUGUAGAAUGGACACCUGUCAUGGACCGGUGUCUUAUUGAUCUCAUGCUUGAGCAGGUCAAUAGAGGAAACGUAAUGCAUAAAAACAAAGAUUUGAAUAUAUAGUAAUUUAGGUACUUCAAAUCUGGAUUUUUUCUUUUCUAGCGAGUGAAGAAAUUAUGUUUUGGUUUUCUUUUCGCAGUAUGUGGAAGUUUAUGUGUACGUAUGGGAUGAUGACAUAACAUCACCAAGUGCUGUAUUCUCAGCUUCUUUUCAUUCCAUUAGACACUUUUUUUGUAACUCUGUUGAUCCUCUGAACAUUUUCAACCAUAUGUUUUCACCUUUAGGCUUCUGGACAGAGUUUAUAAGUUCAUACACACACGAUAA